GUAGUUAAACUCUACUAUUAAGGG
rnacentral:tRNA from 2 species